UUCUCUUUCUUAUUUCUUUAAGGAGGUACUACUAAAUCCUGUUUUUUUAAUAUUUUAAGAGUUAGGUCCUCUGUUUUUAAGUAAAGUAGCUCAUUAAUCCCUUGUCUAUUGGCUGCACCUUGAUCUGACGUUGAGGGUUGAUUUUCCUUGUGGUCUGCUUUCUUGUAAGGUAGGCUGGCGACGAUGGUAUACAGGCUGGUGUUCUAAGGCAAGUGAGGUUUCUCGUGGGGUAUCGAUUGGAUAACAAGCUCCUCUAAGUAGGUUUAGGAAACCGCCAAGUUCUUUAAGUUUUGGUUUUUGGCUUUACUACUCUGGUUUUUUAGUUAGUUGGUUAAUGUAUAGUGGGGUAUCUAAUCCCAGA
rnacentral:rRNA from 1 species